AUAAACCCAGUUGAAGAAGCUUGAGCACAUUGAUACGCAAUAAUUGAAAACAUUGUUUAUUCUGCUUGGUUAGGUUGUACACUUCCAAUAUCUGGAGAAACUGAAGGAAGAUGAUUUCUCUCUAGAGCUGUAUUUACUUAUGAUUAUGUCACGGAAAGCAUUGCUCCACAUCUUGGUUUGGAUGACCCAACCAAUAUCAGUCUUACUCCUCACAACUAUUGCUCGCAGCAACCUAUAGCUCAAGCCAUUAAGUACCAAGGUUUUGACCACUUGUCUGAGAUGUGAUUCACCACAAUCAGAUUCUAGGGGAGGAGAAGAACUUGGGUCCUCGGGAUUGCUUGGUUUAUGUUUAUCACUUCAUAGAAGAUGCAUCUGAGAUCCAAAAGUGUUCGGUAGUAAGACUUUAGUCCCAGUGUCACUACCAAAACCUACCAUAUCUUGAUAUAUGAAAACUUAGCUGCAAAGUCUAGAUGUA